rnacentral:rRNA from 1 species
UAACCUGCGGAGGGAUCAUUACCGAGUUUACAACUCCCAAACCCCUGUGAACAUACCACUUGUUGCCUCGGCGGAUCAGCCCGCUCCCGGUAAAACGGGACGGCCCGCCAGAGGACCCCUAAACUCUGUUUCUAUAUGUAACUUCUGAGUAAAACCAUAAAUAAAUCAAAACUUUCAACAACGGAUCUCUUGGUUCUGGCAUCGAUGAAGAACGCAGCAAAAUGCGAUAAGUAAUGUGAAUUGCAGAAUUCAGUGAAUCAUCGAAUCUUUGAACGCACAUUGCGCCCGCCAGUAUUCUGGCGGGCAUGCCUGUUCGAGCGUCAUUUCAACCCUCAAGCACAGCUUGGUGUUGGGACUCGCGUUAAUUCGCGUUCCCCAAAUUGAUUGGCGGUCACGUCGAGCUUCCAUAGCGUAGUAGUAAAACCCUCGUUACUGGUAAUCGUCGCGGCCACGCCGUUAAACCCCAACUUCUGAAUGUGACCUCGGAUCAGGUAGGAAUGCCCAGGUG